GCUGGGCGCUGUGGCGCACACCUAUAAUCCCAGUGGCUCGGGAGGCUGAGGCAGGAGGAUCAAGAGUUCAAAGCCAGCCUCAGCAAUUUAGUGAAGCCUUAAGCAUCUCAGUGAGACCCUGUCUCUA
rnacentral:sRNA from 1 species